rnacentral:rRNA from 1 species
UACGUAGGUGGCAAGCGUUGUCCGGAUUUACUGGGCGUAAAGGGCGUGCAGGCGGUCUGUUAAGUGCAGGGUGAAAGCUCCCGGCUCAACUGGGAGAGGUCCUUGCAUACUGGCGGACUUGAGGGGGGUAGAGGAAAGUGGAAUUCCCGGUGUAGUGGUGAUAUGCGUAGAUAUCGGGAGGAACACCUGUGGCGAAGGCGGGUCUCUGGGCCGAUACUGACGCUGAGGAGCGAAAGCGUGGGGAGCGAACAGG